rfam:Tinamus guttatus contig27333, whole genome shotgun sequence.
GCAAAGGCUCUUUGAAGAGCCACCCAUGUUUUCAGUAAAAGACUCG